rnacentral:rRNA from 1 species
AUGAACGCUGGCGGCGUGCUUACACAUGCAAGUCGAACGAAACACCUUAUUUGAUUUUCUUCGGAACUGAAGAUUUGGUGAUUGAGUGGCGGACGGGUGAGUAACGCGUGGGUAACCUGCCCUGUACAGGGGGAUAACAGUCAGAAAUGACUGCUAAUACCGCAUAAGACCACAGCACCGCAUGGUGCAGGGGUAAAAACUCCGGUGGUACAGGAUGGACCCGCGUCUGAUUAGCUGGUUGGUGAGGUAACGGCUCACCAAGGCGACGAUCAGUAGCCGGCUUGAGAGAGUGAACGGCCACAUUGGGACUGAGACACGGCCCAAACUCCUACGGGAGGCAGCAGUGGGGAAUAUUGCACAAUGGGGGGAACCCUGAUGCAGCGACGCCGCGUGAGUGAAGAAGUAUCUCGGUAUGUAAAGCUCUAUCAGCAGGGAAGAAAAUGACGGUACCUGACUAAGAAGCCCCGGCUAACUACGUGCCAGCAGCCGCGGUAAUACGUAGGGGGCAAGCGUUAUCCGGAAUUACUGGGUGUAAAGGGUGCGUAGGUGGUAUGGCAAGUCAGAAGUGAAAACCCAGGGCUUAACUCUGGGACUGCUUUUGAAACUGUCAGACUGGAGUGCAGGAGAGGUAAGCGGAAUUCCUAGUGUAGCGGUGAAAUGCGUAGAUAUUAGGAGGAACAUCAGUGGCGAAGGCGGCUUACUGGACUGAAACUGACACUGAGGCACGAAAGCGUGGGGAGCAAACAGG